AGAACGAACGCUGGCGGCAUGCUUAACACAUGCAAGUCGAACGUGAUCCUUCCCUUCGGGGAUGGUGAAAGUGGCGGACGGGUGAGUAACGCGUGGGAACCUGCCUUGUGGUUCGGAAUAACCGCGGGAAACUGCGGCUAAUACCGGAUGAGCCCUACGGGGGAAAGAUUUAUCGCCAUAAGAGGGGCCCGCGUCGGAUUAGGUAGUUGGUGGGGUAACGGCCUACCAAGCCUACGAUCCGUAGCUGGUCUGAGAGGAUGAUCAGCCACACUGGGACUGAGAUACGGCCCAGACUCCUACGGGAGGCAGCAGUGGGGAAUAUUGGACAAUGGGCGCAAGCCUGAUCCAGCAAUGCCGCGUGAGUGAAGAAGGCCUUAGGGUUGUAAAGCUCUUUCGCCCGCGAAGAUAAUGACGGUAGCGGGAGAAGAAGCCCCGGCUAACUCCGUGCCAGCAGCCGC
rnacentral:rRNA from 1 species